rnacentral:rRNA from 1 species
GAUGAACGCUGGCGGCGUGCUUAACACAUGCAAGUCGAACGAGAAAUGGGGACGGAAACCUUCGGGCGGAAGGCUUCAUUUCGAGUGGCGGACGGGUGAGUAACGCGUGGGUAACCUGCCUCAUACAGGGGGAUAACAGUUGGAAACGACUGUUAAUACCGCAUAAGACCACAGCACCGCAUGGUGCGGGGGUAAAAACUCCGGUGGUAUGAGAUGGACCCGCGUUCGAUUAGCCAGUUGGCGGGGUAACGGCCCACCAAAGCGACGAUCGAUAGCCGAUCUGAGAGGAUGACCGGCCACAUUGGGACUGAGACACGGCCCAAACUCCUACGGGAGGCAGCAGUGGGGAAUAUUGCACAAUGGGGGAAACCCUGAUGCAGCGACGCCGCGUGAGUGAAGAAGUACUUCGGUAUGUAAAGCUCUAUCAGCAGGGAAGAAAAUGACGGUACCUGAGUAAGAAGCCCCGGCUAACUACGUG